rnacentral:snoRNA from 1 species
GGUGUGAUGUUACAACAUAUUUGCUACUUCAGAGGGUAUCACCCAAUGAGACUACACAAAUCACCAAGAUCUCUGACC